GCUGUGAUGGCUGAGUGGUUAAGGUGUUAGACUUGCAAUCCAAUAGCGUUUCCCUGCGCAGAUUCAAAUCCUGCUCACAACG